rnacentral:rRNA from 1 species
UACGUAGGGGGCAAGCGUUGUCCGGAAUCAUUGGGCGUAAAGCGCGUGUAGGCGGCCCGGUAAGUCCGCUGUGAAAGUCGGGGGCUCAACCCUCGAAUGCCGGUGGAUACUGUCGGGCUAGAGUGCGGGAGAGGCGAGUGGAAUUCCUGGUGUAGCGGUGAAAUGCGCAGAUAUCAGGAGGAGCACCAAUUGCGAAGGCAGCUCGCUGGAACGUAACUGACGCUGAGACGCGAAAGCGUGGGGAGCAAACAGG